CUUUCAGAUCUAUGGUUUGAUAUCUUUUAUAUCUUUGGAAAAAUUUGGGGUCAUUAUCUUUUCAAAUUUUUUAUCUGUUCUGUUAUCUCUCUUCUCUCUCUUUGACUCCAGUUUGUGUUGAGUCAUUUGAUAUUGCUCAACAGUUUUUACAUGAACAUUUUUUAUUUGCUUUUUUCUUUCUGUGUUUCAAUUUUGAUAAUUUUAAACCUACAUUCAAUUGACUGAGAUUUCCACCUCAGCUUUGAUAACUAACUCUAAGUAAUUCUUCAUUUAUGAUAUUGUGCUUCUUUACUUCCAGAAUUUCCAUAUGACCCCCCUUUUUAUUUUUACCAUUUCAUCUCUGUUGAUGUUUCCUCAUCUUCUCACACAUGUUGUUGACUUUUUCAACUAGAUCCUUUAAAAACUUUUUUAUUUAGGGGGAGGAGAUAGAGCAAGAUGACCAAAGAGAAGCCUCCAGUGAUUGCCCCCACCAUCCCCCACCAGGAACACCAAAUUGAGCAGCUAUCCACACAAAAGAAACAUGUUCAUAAGAAAAACAAAAAAACCAGCCAAAAAAAGAGAGGGGAGGUACAACUCUGAACAGAAUAAUGCUGGCCUAGAACUUGGGGAUGAUAGCAAACCCCUACGAAACAGACAAAAUUAAACUUAAUAAUGGACUCCAGGUCCCGAUCAGCUUUUGAGCAUGUUCUGAUGUUCUGAAACAAAAGAUGUUCCAGGAUCACCUUGUGCUUCCCUUGACCCAGCCCUGGAAUCAACCAUUUCUCCGUGGGAUCCUGCUUUUGUCUUUUGACUAUGGUGUUUAGACAUGGAAGCCAGGGUGCAGGGUGACGCACCUACAUGGAAUGAUGAGCUGUGGAGUGUGUUUAGGACAGACUCCCACCCAAUGCAGAAAUAUUUUAAAUGGAUUCAUUUUUCAGAUGUGCCUUGCUUCCUCUUUGCCUUCUGCCAUGAUUGUA
rnacentral:lncRNA from 1 species